rnacentral:rRNA from 1 species
AAAUUGACGGGGGCCCGCACAAGGCGGCGGAGCAUGCGGAUUAAUUCGAUGCAACGCGAAGAACCUUACCAAGGCUUGACAUACACCGGUAACGCCCAGAGAUGGGUGCCCCUUUGUGGUCGGUGGACAGGUGGUGCAUGGUUGUCGUCAGCUCGUGUCGUGAGAUGUUGGGUUAAGUCCCGCAACGAGCGCAACCCUCGUCCUAUGUUGCCAGCGGGUCAUGCCGGGGACUCAUGGGAGACUGCCGGGGUCAACUCGGAGGAAGGUGGGGAUGACGUCAAAUCAUCAUGCCCCUUAUGUCUUGGGCUUCACGCAUGCUACAAUGGCCGGUACAAAGGGCUGCGAUACCGCGAGGUGGAGCGAAUCCCAGAAAGCCGGUCUCAGUUCGGAUUGGGGUCUGCAACUCGACCCCAUGAAGUCGGAGUCGCUAGUAAUCGCAGAUCAGCAACGCUGCGGUGAAUACGUUCCCGGGCCUU